UGGUGGAGUGAUUUGUCUGGUUAAUUCCGAUAACGAACGAGACCUUAACCUGCUAAAUAGCCAGGCCGGCUUUCGCUGGUCGCCGGCUUCUUAGAGGGACUAUCGGCUCAAGCCGAUGGAAGUUUGAGGCAAUAACA
rnacentral:rRNA from 1 species